GACGAACGCUGGCGGCGUGCUUAACACAUGCAAGUCGAGCGGAAAGGCCCCUUCGGGGGUACUCGAGCGGCGAACGGGUGAGAAACACGUGGGUAAUCAACCCCUGACAGCGGGAUACCCCGGGGAAACCCGGAUCAAUACCGGCUAAGGUGCGGAGGCGCAGGCCGCCGUACCAAAGGUAGCUUCGGCUUCCGGUCAGGGACGAGCCCGCGGCCCAUUAGCUUGUGGGUGGGGUAACGGCCCAGCAAGGCGACGAGGGGUAGCUGGUCUGAGAGGACGAUCAGCCACACUGGUACUGAGACACGGCCCAGACUCCGACGGGAGGCAGCAGUGGGGAAUCUUGCGCAAUGGGCGGAAGCCUGACGCAGCAACGCCGCGUGCGGGAAGAAGGCCCUAGGGUCGUGAACCGCUUUCAGGGGGGACGAAGCUUCCGGGGUUAAUAGCCUACGGGGUGACGGUACUCCCAGAAGAAGGUCCGGCUAACUACGUGCCAGCCGCCGCAGUAA
rnacentral:rRNA from 1 species